AUUGAACGCUGGCGGCAGGCCUAACACAUGCACGUCGAACGAGUGGCGGACGGGUGAGUAAUGUCUGGGAAACUGCCCGAUGGAGGGGGAUAACUACUGGAAACGGUAGCUAAUACCGCAUACCAUCGGAUGUGCCCAGAUGGGAUUAGCUAGUAGGUGGGGUAACGGCUCACCUAGGCGACGAUCGCUAGCUGGUCUGAGAGGAUGACCAGUCACAUUGCGACUGCUACACCGUACAGAAUCCUACGCGUGGCAGCAGUGGGUAAUAUUGCACAAUGGGCGCAAGCCUGAUGCAGCCAUGCGGCGGGCAUGAAGCAGGCCUUCGGGUUGUAAAGUACUUUCAGCGAGGAUGCGUUACUCGCAGAAGAAGCACCGGCUAACGCCGUGCCAGCAGCCGCGGUAAUUC
rnacentral:rRNA from 1 species